ensembl:lncRNA
GAAAACUGAAGGCUCUCCCUCCCAUUCUACUUUUAAAUACUCUAGGAACAACAAGUAGGCCUGCAGAGCGAGAGCGAAGUGCUCUAAUAGGGUGAUAUGGUACUACAAGGUCAUUAAGAUAAGAUGGGGCCUGAUUAUUUAAGACCUUGUAUGUGAGGAACAGGAUUUUGAAUUCAAUUCUGGAUUUAACAGGAAGCCAAUGAAGGGAAGCCAAAACAGGAGAAAUCUGCUCUCUCUUUCUAGUCCCUGUCAGGACUCUUGCUGCAGCAUUUUGGAUUAGCUGAAGGUUUUUCAGUGAGUUUUUUGGACAUGCUGAUAAUAAUGAAUUACAGUCGUCCAGCCUGGAAGUAAUAAAUGCAUGAACUAGUUUUUCAGCGUCACUCUGAGACAGGAUAUUUCUAAUUUUAGAGAUGUUGCGCAAAUGGAAGAACGCAGUCUUACAUAUUUGUUUAAUAUGUGCGUUGAAGGACAUGUCCUGGUCAAAAAUGACUCCAAGGUUCCUCACAGCAUUACUGGAGGCCAAGGUAAUGCCAUCCAGAGUAAGAAUCUGGUUAGAUACCAUAUUUCUAAGCUUUUCAGGGCCGAGUACAAUAACCUCAGUUUUUUUUUUUUUUUUUUUUUUUUUUUGCCUGUCCCGUUUGGCUCUUUUGCCAUCAGAAUUGUUGUCUAAAGGCGAAGAAAGAUGCCCAACGGAUUUACUUUACCAAACUGACCAUCCCAGCCUUGCCAUAAUGGUCCAUUUGAUUCACCUUUUAUUGUUUAUUUUAUUUUCACUUACUGAAUACGGGACAGACUUGACUGGGGGAAAGAAGGGGAGAAAGAAAGAGGGAAAGAGAAACAGCUGAGAAGAGGGACGGGGGAGAAGGGCAAAAGACAAAAACCAACAGAACGGGCAGAGAAAAAAAAAUGCAUAUAUCGAUCACCUGGAUCACCUGCUGAGAAAGAAAAAAGAAAGCAAGCAGAAGAGAACAAGAGUAAUAGAAUAAACAACAUCACAAUGAUAUAUGGGAAUAUGACAGUAAAUACUAAAUGUUAAACAUUAUUGUGCAGCACAUAAGAUCAACAGAACACAGUGUGCUUUGAGGUAGGAGCCAAAAAGGGUGUAGUUUGUGGGUGUGAUCACCCGUGUGUACACCUGUGAGCAUGGACGCGCUUGUUUUUUGUUUUUUAAAAGGUUCCUUCAUGUAAUAAUCUGCUAGAGGGUGUGGGGGGGCCACAGCCCCGUCCUCCAGGGCGUGAAGCAGGUAUGGAGGAGAUCAAAACUCCAGACAUCCAGAUGCCCCCAGAACACAAGAGAC